rnacentral:tRNA from 1 species
GGUUUGUGGCUCAGUGGUAGAGUGCUUCCCUAGCAUGUGCAAGGCACUGGGUUCGAUCCUCAGCACCA